GGGGAAUAUUGCACAAUGGGCGGAAGCCUGAUGCAGCGACGCCGCGUGAGGGAUGACGGCCUUCGGGUUGUAAACCUCUUUCAGCAGGGAAGAAGCGUGAGUGACGGUACCUGCAGAAGAAGCACCGGCUAACUACGUGCCAGCAGCCGCGGUAAUACGUAGGGUGCGAGCGUUGUCCGGAAUUAUUGGGCGUAAAGAGCUCGUAGGCGGCUUGUCGCGUCGGAUGUGAAAGCCCGGGGCUUAACCCCGGGUCUGCAUUCGAUACGGGCAGGCUAGAGUUCGGUAGGGGAGAUCGGAAUUCCUGGUGUAGCGGUGAAAUGCGCAGAUAUCAGGAGGAACACCGGUGGCGAAGGCGGAUCUCUGGGCCGAUACUGACGCUGAGGAGCGAAAGCGUGGGGAGCGAAC
rnacentral:rRNA from 1 species